AUUGAACGCUGGCGGAAUGCUUUACACAUGCAAGUCGAACGGCAGCACGGACUUCGGUCUGGUGGCGAGUGGCGAACGGGUGAGUAAUGUAUCGGAACGUGCCCAGUCGUGGGGGAUAACGUAGUGAAAAUUACGCUAAUACCGCAUACGAUCUAUGGAUGAAAGCGGGGGAUCGCAAGACCUCGCGCGAUUGGAGCGGCCGAUAUCAGAUUAGGUAGUUGGUGGGGUAAAGGCCCACCAAGCCAACGAUCUGUAGCUGGUCUGAGAGGACGACCAGCCACACUGGAACUGAGACACGGACCAGACUCCUACGGGAGGCAGCAGUGGGGAAUUUUGGACAAUGGGCGAAAGCCUGAUUCAGCCAUUCCGCGUGCAGGAUGAAGGCCCUCGGGUUGUAAACUGCUUUUGUACAGAACGAAAAGGUCUCUACUAAUACUAGGAGCUCAUGACGGUACUGUAAGAAUAAGCACCGGCUAACUACGUGCCAGCCGCCGCAGUAA
rnacentral:rRNA from 1 species